rnacentral:rRNA from 1 species
UAUUGGACAAUGGGCGCAAGCCUGAUCCAGCAAUACCGCGUGUGUGAAGAAGGCCUUAGGGUUGUAAAGCACCUUCAAUUGGGAGGAAAACCUGCCGGUCAAUACCCGGUAGCUUGACAUUACCUUUAGAAGAAGCACCGGCUAACUCCGUGCCAGCAGCCGCGGUAAUACGGAGGGUGCGAGCGUUAAUCGGAAUUACUGGGCGUAAAGCGUGCGUAGGCGGUUCGUUAAGUCAGAUGUGAAAGCCCUGGGCUCAACCUGGGAACGGCAUUUGAAACUGGCGGACUAGAGUUUAGUAGAGGGGAGUGGAAUUUCAGGUGUAGCGGUGAAAUGCGUAGAUAUCUGAAAGAACACCAGUGGCGAAGGCGACUCCCUGGACUAGAACUGACGCUGAGUACGAAA